GGAAGUAGUCGUGUCUGGCUCAAAAUUAGCCGAAAACCGGGGUUAAGCAGCAGAACGCGGAGUUGCAAACCGACGGCACGGAAAUAUGCAUUAGCCAUGAGAUCUGCAGCUGUGGGAGCCGUAAACAGAUCAGGUCACUUGGUUGCCUCGUAGCUGUCAAUCAUUCAGAAGAGUGGGAGGGAGAAAAAUGGAGCGAGAAAGGACACCAGUGCAUCCUGUUUCUGGAAUGAGAAUGUAAACAGUUUCACCCUUCCAGACCAUGUUAUGUCUGCUCUACAUCUGGCCAGUGCUGCUUUCAUAACUUACCGUAAUUGUUAACGCUAAAGGCUAACAAUGUUCAUCCCACAACUCCAAAGGACAAGACCGCCGAUCAGUCAAACCACUGCACAUCCUCUAUCAAUCUCAUGUAAUUUACACAGGCUUCUCUUUUAACCUAAAUAUUCCAACCUACACCUUUGCCUAUGUUAUAUAUAUUAUAUGCAUCUAUUUGCAUAUCAGCAUGGCAGACAGCUACCUGCCUUCCCCUAAAAAUUAUAAUUUACUGCUGUGAUAGAAAAGACAUUUUGAAUAGUAUGUGACCGUGAACCACAAAUGUUGUAAGGGUAAAUUUUUUUGAUGAAAUAAACUUUCCAUUACACAUGUAGGAUGGGACAAUCUUUGGCUGAGAUACAACUAUUUGAAAACCUGAGGGUGGAAAAAUAUUAAAAUAUUUAGAAAAUUGCUAUAGUUAAAACAUUCAAAAUGUUUUCGCAAUGCAUAUUACUAAUCAAAA